AAAAACUGUGAGUAGUGUUAGAUAACUAGUAUCAUCCGCCUGCAUUCAUGCAUUCACGGCUAAAUGUUAUCAUGCAUUAUUUUGUUGAAUUAUCAUACUGUGAUGCACUAUCUGUUGAUAUUAAAAAUUGUUUGAUUAUUUGUGUUGUGACUAUGCUGUGCUUUGUUUGUGUGGAAUUGGGAUGAAGUGGGUCACCAUGGGUUUGUGAGACCGUUACCGUUAUAUGGAUCCUGAUUANNNN
rnacentral:lncRNA from 1 species